rnacentral:misc_RNA from 1 species
GAUGAAGAACGUAGUAAAAUGCGAUAAGUAAUGUGAAUUGCAGAAUUCAGUGAAUCAUCGAAUCUUUGAACGCACAUUGCGCCCGCUGGUAUUCCGGCGGGCAUGCCUGUUCGAGCGUCAUUUCAACCCUCAAGCCCCCCGGGUUUGGUGUUGGGGAUCGGCUCUGCCUCACGGCGGUGCGGCCCCCGAAAUACAUUGGCGGUCUCGCUGCAGCCUCCAUUGCGUAGUAGCUAACACCUCGCAACUGGAACGCGGCGCGGCCAUGCCGUAAAACCCCAACUUCUGAAUGUUGACCUCGGAUCAGGUAGGAAUACCCGCUGAACUUAAGCAUAUCAAUAAGCGGAGGA